rnacentral:lncRNA from 1 species
CCCCGCCUCUGCCCCCCCUCUCUCUCUCUCUGCAGCCUGAGCUCUGAAGUAAGUAAGGAGCAGAGGUCUCCAUGACUUGCGUCUAUACCUUCUUUCUGGCAGGUAGCUUGGGAAUUCGAAGGCAUAUUUUGCUUCCCUCUCGGCUCUUGCAUUCCGAAUUGAGUUGUCAGUCAUCUGGUUUCUAGGUGAAAAGUUACUGCUAUUUUGUAUGUCUGUGAACUUCAUGAAAAGUCUGGCCACGUGGCAAGCACCAGGACAGGAAAUAUGGGGUGCACCCAUCUCACAACGAUGCACAGUUUGGCUCUGUCUGCGGUGAAAUGUGGGGCCCAGGAGGAAACAGGAAUGGAUCUUCUCAGCUAUACUCGAUGACUCUGCCGAGAUUCCACCUGGAAGCUGCACUCAGCUCAGAGCUCCUAAUUACCAGCCAGGUACAGACAAAUGGGCCGAGUGUUUGGGGAAAAGCAGCAAGAGUGAUGGAGAAAGACAACUUGAUUUAUGGAGAGAGAUUAAAGGAGCUGAAUAGGUGGAGCUCAGCAAAAGAUGAUGGGGUGGAGCUAGGGGACCAUCUCCUUGUAUCUGAAGGCUGCAAACAGUCAGCAGACUAAGAGUUAUUUCGGUUAGAGCCGAGAAACAUAACAAAGAGUGAUGAAAAGAAAUUUAUGAUAAUAAUAGACUGUAAUUUUAUACCUAUUCCCAAACCAAGGAACCUCAAAACAUUUUAUGGCUAAGUAUAAUACACACACUACAACAGGGCGUGUUGAGGCUGUAAAGUGGCAGGUAAUUUAGCAAAAGCCUUUGAAAGAAAUAAUAUUUAGUGAGAAGGUAAUGGGUCCUCCUCGUGUAAAGAGCAGGGACCUGGCUUUUGUUUUGUCUGCUGCCCACUCCCAGGCGUGGUUCAGAUGGAGAAUGGCAUUGCUUUAUGUUUUCUGAAGCACGCAGGGUUCAACCUUCUUUAAAAAGAGGAGGAGGAGAUCCUUACAGAUCAGAGCAAAACUUGGAAGGCUGCUACAGCAAAGCUCUUAACCCAGCGCCAGGUUCCCCACUGGCUGACUUGGGCAGUUUGGGCUGCUAUGGAAAUGUGCUUUAGCCUCAACAGCUUAUGAACAACACAAAGACACCACUCUCCAUGCCAGAGGCUGGGACCCGAAGAGCUAAGCGCUGGUAGAAUAGGAGGCCAGAAGACAGUCUCCUGAGACUGGAGUUACAUGUGGUUGUGAGAUACCCAGCAUGGGAACCAGAAACCACCUUUUAGUCUUCCGCAGCGGCAGUGUGCAGGAGGAACUGUACCUGGUCACCCCGCCUGAAACAUCAUCCCACUGCUCUCCCACUACUGUGCUCCACACAGCUGGGGUGCUGGACCCUGAUAGAGACUCUGAGGGAGUGAAGAAAAGAGAGACACACAGGAAAGCUGGGAUCCAGUGAGGACUUGGCUACCUCCAGCAACCUGGAACUUCAGUGUUGUUUUUAUGUGGUUUUUGUUUUGCAAAGCACAGGGGCGGAGUUAGCUAGCCUCAGUAGGAGGUGUCUGUCUCUGAGCAUCUCAGGAUGUAAACAUCUGGAAGAAGAGGAAGCCACCAAUUUUCAUACAGACUGGUUACCCUCUCACUCUCAGACUCCCAAGGAAAGCUUUGCCAUCUCCUUGAGCCUGAUCCAAGUAAGGCUUUGCCACUCGGGUGGGGCUAAGGCAUUGGAACACUUGAUGUGGCAGUGCCCGUGUGAACAGUACACACUCACUCAGGACUUCUCAGGGCUCUCUCUGCUCCUGACACCCCAGCCCCUACUUUGUUUUUAAGCAUAUUUUUUUGUCGAUUCUUUAAGAAUUUUAUAUCAUGCACCCCAAUUCCACUCAUUUCCCAAUUCUUCCAUUUCUGCCUUCUACCCUUGUAACAUCCCCUCAAAGGAAAAAAAAAUCUCACUGAUCCCUCUAGGCAGGACCUGCUUCCCAAUCUAUCAAUCACAGCCUUCUCACGCCUGUCACAGCUGUUGUGUCUCCAGUUCCUCUGUGCAUGGACCAUUCUGCUCCUCCAUCUUUCCUGCCUCUCCAUCACAUAUUUGCCAUUGGGAUCUGUGGUGUGUAACACAGUAGACCCUUUUGCCCAAACAGCUUUACAUGCAAACACUCAUUGCAAUGAGUCAUUGGUCUGCUUCAAGGCCUCUGGCUGUUGCUACACCAUCAGUACCAGACCUUCAUCCAGACUCCUCUCAGAUAUCCUACUGUUGCCCCAAGUCAUAGAGAUCCUCAGCUAUGGUCACGAAGGACCAGCCCUUCACUUGAUCCAGCAAGCUCAUAAAUGGGGUGGAUAUUGGGGUGGACCAACUCAAAAUCCUGGGAUGUGGGCUUGGGUGGUAGAUGAGUUGGUCAGCCCACAAGUUCUUCCAUGAAGAAACCACUGGGGCCAGCUCUCCCAUCCUGCUCAGGUGAGGGGCAGAGCCAGCUCUCCUGCAUGUGAUGGCCAGAGAGGGGCAGGACCAACUCUGUAUAUCCCUAGGACACCAACAUGACUUCAAGUGUCAGCCCAGACCACGGACAUCUGCAUAGCCUUUGGUGGCAGCAUGGGCCAUGGACAUCAACAUAGACUCAUAGACAGCUGUGUGUGGCAAGGCCAUGGACCCAGACAUGGCCCUCGUCAGCAGCACAGGCCUGGGUAUCACCAUGACCUCAGGUGGCAGCACAGGCCAGCAUCAGGCUGUUCCUUACCACCCUUGUGUCUCCAGUUUGGCCUUUCUUCACAGUACACAAACCACUCUACUUGCUUUCUCUCCCCUCUCUCUACCACAUACUUGCUCAUUGUUGUGGCACUUGCCUGUUUUGUUAUUUUUUUUAAAGAGUUGUUUCCAGUAUCUAAAAUCAUUAUAUUAUUGAAUUAUUACGUUCCUUUCUGUCUGUUCUGGUUUGAAUGCAAACUCCUAAAGGAUAGAAAAUUUAUAUGUUCUGUUCAGUAUCCUCAUCACUUCCUGGACACUGAUAGUAUAUGCAAAUAUUAGCAAAGUAAAUUUACUUUUUUUCAAAUAGGGAAGACUUACA